GGGUUGUGAGGUUAAGCGACUAAGCGUACACGGUGGAUGCCCUGGCAGUCAGAGGCGAUGAAGGACGUGCUAAUCUGCGAUAAGCGUCGGUAAGGUGAUAUGAACCGUUAUAACCGGCGAUUUCCGAAUGGGGAAACCCAGUGUGAUUCGUCACACUAUCAUUAACUGAAUCCAUAGGUUAAUGAGGCGAACCGGGGGAACUGAAACAUCUAAGUACCCCGAGGAAAAGAAAUCAACCGAGAUUCCCCCAGUAGCGGCGAGCGAACGGGGAGGAGCCCAGAGCCUGAAUCAGUGUGUGUGUUAGUGGAAGCGUCUGGAAAGGCGCGCGAUACAGGGUGACAGCCCCGUACACAAAAAUGCACAUACUGUGAGCUCGAUGAGUAGGGCGGGACACGUGGUAUCCUGUCUGAAUAUGGGGGGACCAUCCUCCAAGGCUAA
rnacentral:rRNA from 1 species